rnacentral:rRNA from 1 species
AGGGAACCUUCCGCAAUGGACGCAAGUCUGACGGAGCAACGCCGCGUGAGUGAAGAAGGAUUUCGGUUCGUAAAACUCUGUUGUUAGAGAAGAACAGCGCAUAGAGUAACUGAUAUGCGUGUGACGGUAUCUAACCAGAAAGCCACGGCUAACUACGUGCCAGCAGCCGCGGUAAUACGUAGGUGGCAAGCGUUGUCCGGAUUUAUUGGGCGUAAAGCGAGCGCAGGCGGUCAAUUAAGUCUGAUGUGAAAGCCCCCGGCUCAACCGGGGAGGGUCAUUGGAAACUGGUUGACUUGAGUGCAGAAGAGGAGAGUGGAAUUCCAUGUGUAGCGGUGAAAUGCGUAGAUAUAUGGAGGAACACCAGUGGCGAAGGCGACUCUCUGGUCUGUAACUGACGCUGAGGCUCGAAAGCGUGGGUAGCAAACAGGAUUAGAUACCCUGGUAGUCCACGCCGUAAACGAUGAGUGCUAAGUGUUGGAGGGUUUCCGCCCUUCAGUGCUGCAGUUAACGCAUUAAGCACUCCGCCUGGGGAGUACGACCGCAAGGUUG